rnacentral:rRNA from 1 species
CCUUAGAGUUUGAUCCUGGCUCAGGAUGAACGCUAGCUACAGGCUUAACACAUGCAAGUCGAGGGGAAACGACAUCGAAAGCUUGCUUUUGAUGGGCGUCGACCGGCGCACGGGUGAGUAACGCGUAUCCAACCUGCCCACCACUUGGGGAUAACCUUGCGAAAGUAAGACUAAUACCCAAUGACGUCUCUAGAAGACACCUGAAAGAGAUUAAAGAUUUAUCGGUGAUGGAUGGGGAUGCGUCUGAUUAGCUUGUUGGCGGGGUAACGGCCCACCAAGGCUACGAUCAGUAGGGGUUCUGAGAGGAAGGUCCCCCACAUUGGAACUGAGACACGGUCCAAACUCCUACGGGAGGCAGCAGUGAGGAAUAUUGGUCAAUGGACGAGAGUCUGAACCAGCCAAGUAGCGUGAAGGAUGACUGCCCUAUGGGUUGUAAACUUCUUUUAUACGGGAAUAAAGUGAGCCACGUGUGGCUUUUUGUAUGUACCGUAUGAAUAAGGAUCGGCUAACUCCGUGCCAGCAGCCGCGGUAAUACGGAGGAUCCGAGCGUUAUCCGGAUUUAUUGGGUUUAAAGGGAGCGUAGGCGGGUUGUUAAGUCAGUUGUGAAAGUUUGCGGCUCAACCGCAAAAAUUGCAGUUGAUACUGGCGACCUUGAGUGCAAACAGAGGUAGGCGGAAUUUCGUGGUGUAGCGGUGAAAUGCUUAAAUAUCACGAAGAAACUCCCAUUGCGAAGGGCAGCUUACUGGAAUGUAACUGACGCUGAUGCUCGAAAAGUGUGGGUAUCAAACAAGGAUUAGAUACCCUGGUAGUCCGCCACAGUAAACGAUGAAUACUCGCUGUUGGCGAUAUACAGUCUCGCGGCCAAGCGAAAGCAUUAAGUAUUCCCACCUGGGGAGUACGCCGGCAACGGUGAAACUCAAAGGAAUUGACGGGGGCCCGCACAAGCGGAGGAACAUGUGGUUUAAUUCGAUGAUACGCGAGGAACCUUACCCGGGCUUAAAUAGCAACUGACGGAACCGGAAACGGUUCUUUCUUCGGACAGUUGUGAAGGUGCUGCAUGGUUGUCGUCAGCUCGUGCCGUGAGGUGUCGGCUUAAGUGCCAUAACGAGCGCAACCCUUACGGGUAGUUACCAUCAGGUUAUGCUGGGGACUCUACCCGGACUGCCGUCGUAAGAUGUGAGGAAGGUGGGGAUGACGUCAAAUCAGCACGGCCCUUACGUCCGGGGCUACACACGUGUUACAAUGGGGGGUACAGAAGGCAGCUACACGGCGACGUGGUGCUAAUCCCAAAAGCCUCUCUCAGUUCGGAUUGGAGUCUGCAACCCGACUCCAUGAAGCUGGAUUCGCUAGUAAUCGCGCAUCAGCCACGGCGCGGUGAAUACGUUCCCGGGCCUUGCACACACCGCCCGUCAAG